GUUAACAGUAUUCUCUCACCGGGAUAGUGAGUGCAGUGCUUAGUUCAGCACUCUCCUCCAUCAACAACAACAACCACCGCGUCUAGGUCAUUCCACACUCUCCCUUCGCACCCAACAAUGCUGUUUCACAUACCCUAAUAACCCCUUUUCCCUUCUCCAAAAAGUAACGCUACUACUUUUUUCUUUUCAGACCCUAACAUCGAAUACCCACAUUCCCAAUUUCCCUCAACUUAUUCUCUCACCACCGAUAAAACGAUGUCGGGCAGAAACCGCGGGCAACCCCUUCCUCCUCCGCGCGCCGGGCUAUCGCCGCCGAUCCACGACCCGGUGUUCGGCGCGAGGGCCCAUCUGGUGGGGCACGUGCCUCCCCACCCGCACCCGCACCCGGUGCUUCUAGAAGACUUCCGAGACCCGCAGCAGCUAGGGCUGGGCCCGCGCGGGCCCAUCCCGCUGCACCCUGCGGCGAUCAUCGAGGAGCGUCUCGCGGCCCAGCACCAGGAGAUCCAGGGCCUCCUCGGCGACAACCAGAGGCUCGCCGCCACCCACGUGGCCCUCAAGCAGGAGCUCGAGGCGGCCCAGCACGAGCUCCAGCGCGUGGCCCACUUCCGCGACUCCCUCCGGGCCGACACCGAGGCCCGCAUGCGGGAGCUCUACGACAAGUCGGCCCAGCUCGAGGCCGAGCUCCGCGGCGCCGAGGCCGCCCGGGCCGAGCUCCUCCAGGUCCACGCCGACGUCAAGGAGCUCACCGCCGUCCGCCAGGACCUCUCCGGCCAGGUGCAGGCCAUGACGCAGGACCUCGCCCGGAUGACCGCCGACGCGAAACGGUUGCCGGCGCUCAGGGCAGAUGUUGAGGCCAUGAAACAAGAGCUGCAAUGUGCAAGGGCUGCCAUUGAGUAUGAGAAGAAGGGAUUUGCGGAAAACUAUGAACAUGGUCAAGUGAUGGAGAAGAAGUUGGUUGCGAUGGCUCGGGAGAUGGAGAAACUUCGUGCAGAGAUUGCUAAUGCAGAGAAAAGAGCACGGGCUGCUGCGGCAGCUGGGAAUUCAGGUCCAGGGUAUAAUGCAAAUUAUGGCAAUGCUGAUGCUGGAUAUGCUGGAAAUCCUUACCCUGGCAUUUAUGGCAUUAAUCCAGUACAGCCUGGUGUGGAGAGUUUUCCUCAGUAUGGACCUGGACCUGGUGCUUGGGGUGCAUAUGACAUGCAGCGUGCUCAAGGACACAGAUAGAUUCCUGUUGAGCAAUCUAAUAACUGGGUUCUGAAUUUUGGGCCCAAACGUUGUGCCUUUGAUUCCUUGGUUCACCUCUGCAGUUUGAAUUGGCAUCAAAUUGGAUCGUCAAGGAUUAUAACAAGUUUUCCGCUUCAACACUUGAUGUUGGAAGUGCAAGGACAUACAAGCUUACGGUAAAUUUUCACAAGCUUGCACCCAACUUUUUGUAAUCAAGUCGUUUGAGUUAAUUAUUAGUCAACGUGUUUGUUCUACAAGAAAUGUCUUUCAAGGGUUAAUCUUCAAUGUCUCGUUUGGCUACAGGUGAUGUUUUGUAUUAUAUGGCUUUUCAGAUAGUAAACGAGCACUUAAGUCUGGCUUGAUUAUUUAAUCGAGUCCCAAUCUCUAUAUUAAUUGCUUGUGGAAUUGCUCAAUAACCCAUGGUAGUAUUACUCUGGAAUAAUUCUCAAUAGUUAAUUUACUUAAUAACUCAUAG